CCAGCCGAUACUAUGGUUAAGCCGCGAAUGGCUCAUUACAACAGCCACUGUUCACUUGAUCUUGAAUAUCCUACUUGGAUAACUGUGGUAAUUCUAGAGCUAAUACAUGCAACUCAGCUCCGACCCUUUGGGGGACGAGCGCAAUUAUUAGAACAAAACCAAUCGGGCUUCGGUCCGUGGUUUGGUGGAUCUGAAUAACUGAGCUGAUCGCACGGUCUUUGCACCGGCGACGCAUCUUUCAAGUGUCUGCCUUAUCAGCUGUCGAUGGUAGUUUAUGUGACAACCAUGGCUGUAACGGGUAACGGAGAAUAAGGGUUCGACUCCGGAGAGGGAGCCUGAGAAACGGCUACCACAUCCAAGGAAGCAGCAGGC
rnacentral:rRNA from 1 species